AUAGUGGACAUAGGAGUGAAUGAAUUUAGCUGUAUUGGAUGUCUAGUCAUUGGUGCUGUCUUUAACUUUGACAAAGUAGAGAUUGCCAUCUAUCAUCUAUCUAUCUAGUAGAGAUUGGUCAGGGAGGAGGUAUGGGAUCAGGGCAUCUAUCAGUGCCCUCAGCAUUGACCUCAACUAAAUGGUCUAUGUGUUCCAGUGUGACUUUACCUAUGUCAAGGUCAAUGGCGCAGUCAACAGUCAAAGCUGAGAACAUGAAACUUGUCCUCAACAGCAUCCCCUUCUUCCAGGAGUGAGACAUCACCAACAUCAAAUGGGUGAUGCUGGUGCUGAGUGUGUUAUAAAGUCUACUGGUGUCUCCAAUACCACGGAAAAUCCUGAGGCCCACUUGAAAGUUGAAGACAGACAUCAUCUUUGCCACUUUAUGGUGCUGCCCAGAAUAUCAUCCUUGUAUCCACUGGUUCUGCCAGGUCAUUCCAGAGCUGAAUGGGAAGCUAACUGGCACGCCUUUCAUGUUUCUACCCUCACUGUUUCCAUCACGGAUCUGACAUGCUACAGGGAGAAUAUUGUCAAGUAUGAUAACAUAAAGAAGGUGGAUAAACAGGCAUUAUAAGACUACACUGAAAACCAGGUUGUCUCAUGUGACUUUAAUAGUUAUUUUUACUCUUCCACCUUUGAUUCUGGGGCUGGCAUUGCUCUCAAUGACAACUUUUUCUCAUUUCCUGAUAUGACAAUGAAUACAGCUACAGAAACAGGAUGGUGAACCUCAUGACUCACAUGACCUCAGUUUAA
rnacentral:lncRNA from 1 species